UCGAUUACCAGGAAUCAUGAUGUCUCUGACGGAAGCAGCAGAUGGCACGGAGGUUACGGAAAUAGCAGAAAGCAACAUUCGUGCAAAGAGACAGGAUUUCAUAACCACUUCCCACUAAUUGGUUUUAUUAGAGCAGCCUGCUUUGUUUACACUAAAGAAGACCUUCUUUAGAUCACUUACAUUCGGUUUCUGGUGAAAUACUUCAAAGGUCGGUUCCGUGAACGCCUCACGGAGGACGCGUCGGAACACUUCAGGGACUCACCAUCAGUAGAGGUCCAGGUCCAGAACCAAGUAAGACUGAGAAUUUUGAAUGUCUCAUCAUCCUCACGAAGAAACGGGGUGGGAGGCGAGUGGUACCAAGCGUCUUUUCGUGUCGUCCUCGCCAUUUCCGGGUCCUAAAUGGCUGUCAAA